UACGGAGGGUGCGAGCGUUGUCCGGAAUCACUGGGCGUAAAGGGCGCGUAGGCGGCCUGAUAAGUAGGGGGUGAAAUCCUGCGGCUUAACCGCAGGGCUGCCUUCUAAACUGUCAGGCUAGAGCACAGUAGAGGCAGGUGGAAUUCCCGGUGUAGCGGUGGAAUGCGUAGAGAUCGGGAAGAACAUCAGUGGCGAAGGCGGCCUGCUGGGCUGUUGCUGACGCUGAGGAACGAAAGCCAGGGUAGCGAACGGG
rnacentral:rRNA from 1 species